rnacentral:ncRNA from 2 species
AUUAAUAUAGGUGAUGGAGUUUACCUUAACUGCUAUAAAGCUAAUGACUCCUACAAGUAA